rnacentral:rRNA from 1 species
AACGAACGCUGGCGGCAUGCCUACACAUGCAAGUCGAACGAGACCUUCGGGUCUAGUGGCGCACGGGUGCGUAACGCGUGGGAACCUGCCCUUAGGUUCGGAAUAACUCCCCGAAAGGGGUGCUAAUACCGGAUAAUGUCUUCGGACCAAAGAUUUAUCGCCUUUGGAUGGGCCCGCGUUGGAUUAGCUAGUUGGUAGGGUAAAAGCCUACCAAGGCGACGAUCCAUAGCUGGUCUGAGAGGAUGAUCAGCCACACUGGGACUGAGACACGGUCCAGACUCCUACGGGAGGCAGCAGUGGGGAAUAUUGGACAAUGGGCGAAAGCCUGAUCCAGCAAUGCCGCGUGAGUGAUGAAGGCCUUAGGGUUGUAAAGCUCUUUUACCCGGGAUGAUAAUGACAGUACCGGGAGAAUAAGCUCCGGCUAACUCCGUG